CCCUUAGAUGUUCUGGGCCGCACGCGUGCUACACUGAGUGGAUCAGCGGGUCAGGUUGCGCGAAAGCGUUUCCUAAUCUUUAAAUCCGCUCGUGAUGGGGAUUGACGGUUGCAAUUUUCUGUCAUGAACGAGGAAUACCUUGUAAGCGCGGGUCAUCAUCCCGCGCUGAAUACGUCCCUGCCCUUUGUACACACCGCCCGUCGCUCCUACCGAUUGAGUGGUCCGGUGAGGCUUUGGGAUCUGAGCGGAAAGAGCGUUUCGCUGGUUCUGCUCGGAAAACUCAGUCGAACCUUAUCAUUUAGAGGAAGGAGAAGUCGUAACA
rnacentral:rRNA from 1 species